rnacentral:tRNA from 2 species
GGCGAUGUAGCUCAGCCUGGUUAGAGCAAGUGCUUCAUAAGCACUGGGUCAGUGGUUCGAGUCCACUCAUCGCCA